GAAACCCUUCUCCUGCAGAAAUUAAUGAGAACGUGCAUGAAACUGAACAGAAACAGAGCUGACCAAUAAUAAAUUCUUAUGAAAAUUCCACUUGGCAGUUCGAUGAUCAGUACCCAUCAAAAGGAUUCUCUGUGUAAAGCUCUUUAUCACAAUCUGAGUACACUCUAGAUGGACUCAUUAUGAAUCAAGUUCCCUCAGAACAAAGAGGAAGUGCUCUGCUACAUUGAUAUUGUACAUCAUGGAGCCUGGAUAAAGUCAAGAGCUGAUGUAACCUUGACUUUUGACAUUCCAAGAGACUACUGUCUAGAUAAUGCAAGGUGUGUAAGCCACUGUCUUUGAUAAGUAAUAAAACAAAUAAUAAA